AGGGUUCGAUUCUGGCUCAGGAUAAACGCUGGCGGCGUGCUUAACACAUGCAAGUCGAAACGAAUAAACCAUCCUCGGAUGGAUAUAGAGUGGCGAACGGGUGAGUAACACGUGACCAACCUACCUUUCACAUUGGGAUAACUCGGAGAAAUCCAAGCUAAUACCAAAUACUCCGUGCAGGUCGCAUGACCUGUGCGGGAAAGCUUUCGCGGUGGAAGAUGGGGUCGCGGCCUAUUAGAUAGUUGGUGGGGUAACGGCUCACCAAGUCAAUGAUAGGUAGCCGGGUUGAGAGACUGAUCGGCCACAUUGGGACUGAGAUACGGCCCAGACUCCUACGGGAGGCAGCAGUGGGGAAUUUUGCGCAAUGGGGGAAACCCUGAACCGCAGCAACGCCGCGUGCGGGAUGAAGGCCUUCGGGUUGUAAACCGCUUUCAGCAGGGAAGAAAUUGACGGUACCUGCAGAAGAAGCUCCGGCUAACUACGUGCCAGCCGCCGC
rnacentral:rRNA from 1 species